rnacentral:rRNA from 1 species
GGAUUAGAUACCCUGGUAGUCCACGCUGUAAACGAUGAUUACUCGUUUUCGGCGAUAUACAGUCGGAGACUAAGCGAAAGUGAUAAGUAAUCCACCUGGGGAGUACGAUCGCAAGGUUGAAACUCAAAGGAAUUGACGGGGGCCCGCACAAGCGGUGGAGCAUGUGGUUUAAUUCGAUGAUACGCGAGGAACCUUACCAGGGCUUAAAUGCAAGUUGAAUGAUGUGGAAACAUGUCAGUCUUCGGACAAUUUGCAAGGUGCUGCAUGGCUGUCGUCAGCUCGUGCCG